CAGUUAUGUAGCUAAUAACAAAGGAUUCUAUUUUAAAAAUAAUUACAUUCCAUUUACACAGUUUCCCACAGAAUUUACUCAUAAAAUGCAGGAUGCACCAAAAGAUUAAAUGCCAUUUUCCUGUUCAUUAAAGCCAUUUUUCUAAAUGUAGUUGAGUUAUUUGCUUUUUUGUCUUGGAAGAACCACAUACCCAAGAAGUGGUUAGAGUCAGUUUAUUCUUAAACAAAAGAGCUAAUUACAUUUAGGGUUUGUCUGCAGCGUACAUUUAACUUGCAGAUUUGCAUCCUAAUCUCAGUCCAUGGCCAGAUACUGCUUUCUGAAACAGCACUGCUGGAUGCUGAGGUCAUUGUUGACCUCUAACUGUCCUUUCUAUGCCAAAAAUGGCUUCCUCAAGUGGUUUGUCUAGGUGAAGAAACACAGUGGAUCCUGCUUCUGGCAGAGCCAUCCAAAUUGAUUUAAAUACUUGAUUAAAGUGAUUGAAGAAGAUUAUGAUGCCUUUUCCAAAAAAACUCUGGAAACAGAAAUCCAGAGCUGAGACAGGUGCUGCAGGUAUGUGAGCAACAGUCUAGUUAGCGUGUGAAUGUCUGUCUAUGUGAAGGAUUCCUCACUGUUUUUGCCUUGCCCUGAACACUUCAUGUUGUCCAGUAAUAUGGGAUUCUUCUGCAAGUUGACUUGUAGGAUGACUUGUGUUGCCCCACAAGGAAGAGCUGAAAAUCAGACUCUUCUACAAUGCAAUCUCACACAGUACUAUCAACUUCUGAACGUAUGGUAGCCCUGGGUUUAUCUUUGCAUCUUUGAAUGCUUUGAAUUAGUCUCAGGUACAGGAAUUACAGAAAGAAAACAUGCAGAGACACAACUUUUUGAAGAAACAACAAAACUAAAACAGGUUUAGAGAAUUAUCCAUCAAAUUACAUUUUUAAGAGUGGCUAUUAAAAUGUUGAUGACAAACUAUAAGAUGAUGAGUCAGGGACACUAAACAACCGAAUGCAUGGGUUCUACAAGAUAUUACACUAAGUACUAAAAAUUUCACUUUAUAACCCAGUGUGAUUAAAUAGCAUACUGCUGAAAAUGCAGAUGUUAUACUACUAUACUUAAAAAAAAAGCCUUUUAAAGUUGUUUCUAAUUAAGUCAUGAAAGAUCACAAAGAAAAGGGAGGGAGGCUUUGCUAAGAGUGUAGCCAUAUGGAAGGACUAGGUUUUGAGGGUGAUCUUUGAAGUUUCAUUCUUCAAACUACGUGGCCUUGAAGCCACUGAGAGCUUAAAAGACCUGACGGUGAAACUGGGAAAUGUUGCAGUUCUGUUGUACUACUCAUUAAUGAGUGUGAGCUGCUUAUAAGGAAGCAUUAUUAUUAAGGAAAAUCUGUUUUUAGAAUGACCUUGGACUCAUAUUUCCAAGGUAGCUAAAGAGAAAGUAGCAUUCACAGAACUAAAGAUUCUUGCCAGCUAUGUAACAUUCAAAUCUCAGUUAAGCACGUUUUAAAACGGUAGUGAUGGUGAUAGAAAAAGUCAAAUAUUCCACCUACU